GACAUGACUCUCGGCAAUGGAUAUCUCGGCUCUCGCAUCGAUGAAGAGCGCAGCGAAAUGCGAUACGUGGUGCGAAUUGCAGAAUCCCGUGAACCAUCGAGUCUUUGAACGCAAGUUGCGCCCGAGGCCAACCGGCCAAGGGCACGUCUGCCUGGGCGUCAAGC
rnacentral:rRNA from 1 species